rnacentral:rRNA from 1 species
GACGAACGCUGGCGGCGUGCUUAACACAUGCAAGUCGAACGGUAAGGCCCUUCGGGGUACACGAGUGGCGAACGGGUGAGUAACACGUGGGUGAUCUGCCCUGCACUUCGGGAUAAGCCUGGGAGACUGGGUCUAAUACCGGAUAGGACCACUGCCUGCAUGGGUGGUGGUGGAAAGCUUUUGCGGGGUGGGAUGGGCCCGCGGCCUAUCAGCUUGUUGGUGGGGUGAUGGCCUACCAAGGCGACGACGGGUAGCCGGCCUGAGAGGGUGGCCGGCCACACUGGGACUGAGAUACGGCCCAGACUCCUACGGGAGGCAGCAGUGGGGAAUAUUGCACAAUGGGCGCAAGCCUGAUGCAGCGACGCCGCGUGAGGGAUGACGGCCUUCGGGUUGUAAACCUCUUUCAGCACCGACGAAGCGCAAGUGACGGUAGGUGCAGAAGAAGGACCGGCCAACUACGUGCCAGCCGCCGCCGUAA